rnacentral:rRNA from 1 species
CGCGUAUACAAUCUGCCUUAUACAGAGGGAUAGCCUUUAGAAAUGAAGAUUAAUACCUCAUAGUCUAUUAUUAUAGCAUUAUAAAAUAGUAAAGCUUCGGCGGUAUAAGAUGAGUAUGCGUCCUAUUAGUUAGUUGGUGAGGUAACGGCUUACCAAGACGACGAUAGGUAGGGGCCCUGAGAGGGGGAUCCCCCACACUGGUACUGAGACACGGACCAGACUCCUACGGGAGGCAGCAGUGAGGAAUAUUGGACAAUGGAGGCAACUCUGAUCCAGCCAUGCCGCGUGCAGGAAGACGGC